UACGGAGGGGGCAAGCGUUAUUCGGAAUUAUUGGGCGUAAAGGGCGCGUAGGCGGCCUGCCAAGUCAAAGGUGAAAUCCCUCGGCUCAACCGAGGAACUGCCUUUGAAACUGACAGGCUUGAGGCCGGUAGGGGGUGGCGGAAUUCCCAGUGUAGCGGUGAAAUGCGUAGAUAUUGGGAGGAACACCGGUGGCGAAGGCGGCCACCUGGACCGGUUCUGACGCUGAGGCGCGAAAGCGUGGGGAGCAAACAGG
rnacentral:rRNA from 1 species